rnacentral:rRNA from 1 species
UACGUAGGUGGCAAGCGUUGUCCGGAAUUAUUGGGCGUAAAGCGCGCGCAGGCGGCCUUUUAAGUCUGAUGUGAAAGCCCACGGCUCAACCGUGGAAGGUCAUUGGAAACUGAAGGGCUUGAGUACAGAAGAGGAAAGCGGAAUUCCACGUGUAGCGGUGAAAUGCGUAGAGAUGUGGAGGAACACCAGUGGCGAAGGCGGCUUUCUGGUCUGUAACUGAUGCUGAGGCGCGAAAGCGUGGGGAGCAAACAGG